rnacentral:rRNA from 1 species
CUACGUGCCAGCAGCCGCGGUCAUACGUAGGAUCCGAGCAUUAUCCGGAGUGACUGGGUGUAAAGAGUUGCGUAGGUGGCAUAGUAAGUAGAUAGUGAAAUCUGGUGGCUCAACCAUUCAGACUAUUAUCUAAACUGCUAAGCUCGAGACCGUUAGGGGUAACUGGAAUUUCUAGUGUAGGAGUGAAAUCCGUAGAUAUUAGAAGGAACACCGAUAGCGUAGGCAGGUUACUGGGACGGUUCUGACACUAAGGCACGAAAGCGUAGGGAGCAAACGGGAUUAGAUACCCCGGUAGUCUACGCCGUAAACGAUGGAUACUAGCAGUUUUGGGUAUCGACCCCCGGAGUUGCGAAGCUAACGCGUUAAGUAUCCCACCUGUGUAGUACGAUCGCAAGAUUAAAACAUAAAGGAAUUGACGGGGACCCGCACAAGCGGUGGAGCGUGAUCUUUAAUUCGAUGGUAAACGAUAAACCUUACCAAGGCUUGACA